GGGCGUCUAGCUCACAUGGUAGAGCGCUCGCUUCGCAUGCGAGAGGUACUGGGUUCGAUUCCCAGGUCGUCCA
rnacentral:tRNA from 1 species